UUUAAAGAAGAAUCUAGGACUGGAGAUGUGCCCAGUGGUAGCAUGCUUCCUUAGCAUGCGGAAGUCCUGGGUUAGAGUUCCAGCACCACGUUAAUUAAUUAUUAAAAGAUCU
rnacentral:miRNA from 1 species